ensembl:lncRNA LINC00511 long intergenic non-protein coding RNA 511
ACUUCACCCUGGGACAUUAUGGUCGCUGGUCAGACCUCAUGACUCACUUGGACUCUUGAGCCACCUCUGGGGGUGGAGUCUCUCUCCUGGCAUCUGGACCCUUGGUGCUAUCGACGAAGCUUGGCUGGCGCUCUUAGCUGCUAUGUGCAAGACGUGUGUCCCAGGGAAAGCCCCUCUCUCUCUGCAGAGGUCAAGUGAAAGCCACGGCCGCAGCCAACAGAGUUCAAAAUGCAGGCUUGGAAAGUCCAGGGGGCUCUGUGGAGGUGAGACAGCCACAGGCUGAGCUUUCUGAGCCCUUGGGGUGCCACCUCCUGAGUCCUGGUUCCUGCGGCUCCGUCGAAUCUGCAGUGAAGGCCUUUGGGAAGCGUGGGUUAUGUGGGUCCAGGGGUCCCAUCCUCCCGUGGAGGCCCUUGACCUGAGGAUCACUAACUCACACCCCACCGACUUCCGGCCCCCAACAAGGGCAGUGUUCCUCUUGCUCCAUUCUGCUCUGAAGUCCCCCAAACCGCUUCCUGGGGCUGCUUAGUGAAAUACAAGGCUCAUCUCUGAGGACCUCUACAGGGCUGGAUGGGAAGGACUGAUCCACAUUCCCACCAGGAAGUUUAGCAGAACCCCCGCGUGCCACCUGGACCCCUUGGAAGGACCUGGCUCAGGCUGGACCACCUCUUGAGAGGCAGGAGCUCUGGAUUUGAUCAAGAAUUCUUUGCUGAGCAUGGUGCCUCAUGCCUAUAAUCCCAACACUUUGGGAGGCCAGUGUGGGAGGAUCUCUUGAGCCCAGGAGUUCAAGACUAGCCUGGGCAACACAGAGAGACCCCAUCUCUAAAAUAAUAAUAAUAAUAAAAUAAAAAAUUAGCAGGGCAUGGUGGCAUGUGCCUGUAGUCCCAGCUACCCAGGAGGCUGAGGCAAGAGGAUGGCUGGAGCCUGGGAUGUUGAGGCUGCAAUGAACUGUGAUUACCCCACUGCACUCCAGCCUGGGCAAAAGAGCGAGAGACCCUGUCUCAAAUAAUAAUAAUAAUAAUAAUCUUAUUUUGGAGAAUAAAGAGACCUCUGGAUUUGAGGUGCCAUUUGGGUAGAAAGAAAAGACGUUUACACCGAGAAAUAGUCUGUGUUGCCCUGAAGGAGCAGAGGGAUGCAUCGCUGGAGGUGACCUACAGUUGAAGAAGACUCAUUAUGACAGACCUUGUCCUUCUUCCUUGUGGAAAGUGUUUCCUCUGCUGCUACUGCUCAUGAGACUCUUCCCCCUCCCUGUCCCAGGGAACCAAAGGGCUUUCUACCACACCCUUUCUUGCCCCCCGCCUCCCAUGUCUGCUGUGCCUUUGUACUCAGCAAUUCUUGUUUGCUCCAUUAUCUUCCAGCCGGAUACAGAGUGAAUAGUUAACCACACUUAGGUCAAAUAGGAUCUAAAUUUUUGUUCCUGCUCCGUGUAAAGAGGCCAGUGUUUGUGUGUUGCAAGCAGCCUUGGAAUAGUAACUCUUCUCAUUUGUUUGGGAUCUGGCCACCAAGUUCCAGAAUGAUACACGGAUCAGUGCAGAAGUUCAUCAGGCUCUCGGACCUUAGGGCUGUUGGAGAAGGCUUCAGCAGCAGAACUGAUGGUGAAGGCUCGUGUUCUCCAUCCUCAACUUUCUUUGCUUCGAUCAUACACAAGAAUACAUUUGGAAGGGCAAAAAAUGAACACUGUCGUUCAUUGCAGCCGUGUUUUGUGACACAGAUGCACAGUCUGCUGUGAAGACCUUCUCUCAAGUGGCAUUUGGGAGUCCAUGCCAGAUCAUGGUGCUUCAUGAGAGACUGACAGCUAUCAGGGGUUGUGGCACUUAGUGAGGACUCUCCUCCCCCAGUGUGUGCUGAUGACACAUACACACCUGACAAUAGCUUGAGUCUUCUCUGUUCCUUUUACUCUGUAGCCAACAUACACAUGAUUUAAAACCCUUUCUAAAUAUCUAUCAUGGUUCAUCCUUGUCCAAAUGCAGAGUCAGAGCUAUUUGUACUUCAUUAUUAUUUCCAAGGCGAAUAGUUGGCUUUCUUUUUGCAAAAAUAAUUAAAGUUUUUGUAUGUUGCAGUUGC